rnacentral:rRNA from 1 species
CAAUAGCGUAUAUUUAAGUUGCUGCAGUUAAAAAGCUCGUAGUUGGAUUUCGGGUGGGAAUGGCCGGUCCGCCGUUUCGGUGUGCACUUGCUACGCCCACCUUGCUGCCGGGGACGUGCUCUUGAGUUCACGCUCGGGACACGGAGUCGGCGAGGUUACUUUGAGUAAAUUAGAGUGUUCAAAGCAGGCCUACGCUCUGAAUACAUUAGCAUGGAAUAACACGAUAGGACUCUGGCCUAUCUUGUUGGUCUGUAGGACCGGAGUAAUGAUUAAGAGGGACAGUCGGGGGCAUUCGUAUUUCAUUAUCAGAGGUGAAAUUCUUGGAUUUAUGAAAGACGAACUACUGCGAAAGCAUUUGCCAAGGAUGUUUUCAUUAA